AAAAACUUCAAAACAGCAAAAGGAAAAAAGGGAAAAAAAAAAGAAAUUCUCCGGCGGAAAUUACCGGCGAUUGACGAUGGCCUUGCCUGAAAAUUUAACCAGAGAGCAGUGUUUGUACUUGGCGAAGCUAGCUGAGCAAGCUGAACGAUAUGAGGAGAUGGUGAAGUUCAUGGACAAGCUCGUAAUCGGGUCGGGUUCAUCGGAGUUGACGGUGGAAGAGAGAAAUCUUCUUUCGGUGGCGUAUAAGAACGUUAUCGGUUCACUUCGAGCAGCGUGGAGGAUUGUAUCGUCAAUUGAGCAGAAGGAGGAGGGUAGGAAGAACGAUGAGCAUGUGGUUCUAGUGAAGGAUUACAGAUCUAAAGUUGAAUCUGAGCUUAGUGAUGUUUGUGCUGGAAUUCUGAAGAUUUUGGAUCAGUAUUUGAUUCCUUCAGCUUCUGCUGGUGAAUCCAAGGUGUUUUAUUUGAAGAUGAAAGGGGAUUAUUAUCGUUAUUUAGCUGAAUUCAAAGUUGGAAAUGAACGCAAGGAAGCUGCUGAGGAUACUAUGCUUGCCUACAAAGCUGCUCAGGACAUCGCUGUUGCGGAGCUUGCCCCAACACAUCCGAUACGACUUGGGUUGGCUCUCAACUUCUCGGUGUUCUACUAUGAGAUUCUGAAUGCAUCAGAAAAAGCAUGCAGCAUGGCUAAGCAGGCAUUUGAGGAAGCUAUUGCUGAACUGGACACUUUGGGUGAGGAAUCCUAUAAGGAUAGCACACUUAUCAUGCAGUUGUUAAGGGACAAUCUCACGCUCUGGACUUCCGAUAUGCAGGAGCAGAUGGACGAGGCUUGACAUGAUAGCGCUCCUCCAGGAGGGUGAGUUCAAAUGUCACAACAACAGUCUGUAAAAUCUACCUAUGCAAUUGAUAGCUUUUGUAAUUUUUAUAUGCCCUGCUUACUUUGAUGAUUUUCUUGUUCAAACUUCCGUUUGAUACUUCUUAUGAUUUUAAUUUUAUUUCUUUAGCUUCCCUUUUCGUUCACUCUCUUAUGUCUUGGAGUAUCUCCAAGUCUGAAACCCUUCUAAUUAUGCGUCUUUAGUUUGACUGAAUAUGAAGUUUAAGAAAGUAAA
rnacentral:misc_RNA from 1 species